CCCAAAGAAAAAAUCACAUGAAACUACAUGAUCCUUGGCAGGUGUUCCAAUGAAAAAUUGAAAGAAUUUGUUAGUGAUAAGGGAACACAGAGAGACGCAGAGAGAUAUAGAGACAAAAAUUGAAGGCAGAGAUAGAAAUAGAAAGGAAGGAUCAAGUUUCAAUGCGAUUAUUACAAUGUGCCACGAGCAA
ensembl:ncRNA Y73B6BL.280 ncRNA